UACGUAGGGGGCGAGCGUUGUCCGGAGUUACUGGGCGUAAAGGGCACGCAGGCGGUGCGGCGCGUUUCGCGUGACAGCGGAGGGCUUAACUCUCCGAGGAUGCGAAAGACGGCGGCACUUGAGGGCCAGAGAGGGACACGGAAUUCCGGGUGGAGUGGUGAAAUGCGUAGAUAUCGGGAGGAACACCAGUGGCGAAGGCGGCUUUCUGGCCCGUUCGUUGACGCUGAGACGCGAAAAGCGUG
rnacentral:rRNA from 1 species